rnacentral:rRNA from 1 species
GACGAACGCUGGCGGCGUGCUUAACACAUGCAAGUCGUACGGAAAGGCCCCUUUGGGGGUACUCGAGUGGCGAACGGGUGAGUAACACGUGAGUAACCUGCCCUUGACUUCGGGAUAAGUUCAGGAAACUGGGGCUAAUACCGGAUAGGAAUCCUUGCUGCAUGGUGGGGGUUGGAAAGCUUCGGCGGUUUUGGAUGGACUCGCGGCUUAUCAGCUUGUUGGUGGGGUAGUGGCUUACCAAGGCUUUGACGGGUAGCCGGCCUGAGAGGGCGACCGGCCACAUUGGGACUGAGAGACGGCCCAGACUCCUACGGGAGGCAGCAGUGGGGAAUAUUGCACAAUGGGCGGAAGCCUGAUGCAGCAACGCCGCGUGCGGGAGGACGGCCUUCGGGUUGGAAACCGCUUUCAGCAGGGGCGAAGCUUGUGGUGACGGUACCUGCAGAAGAAGCACCGGCUAACUACGUG